rnacentral:tRNA from 1 species
GCACCUAUAGCUCAACUGGAUAGAGUACUCGGUUGCGAACUGAGCGGUUAGGAGUUCAAGUCUCCUUGGGUGCACCA